AGCGAACGCUGGCGGCAGGCCUAACACAUGCAAGUCGAGCGGCCGUAGCAAUACGGCAGCGGCAGACGGGAGAGUAACGCGUGGGAACGUGCCCUUCAGUUCGGAAUAACCCAGGGAAACUUGGGCUAAUACCGGAUACGUGCGAGAGCAGAAAGAUUUAUCGCUGAAGGAUCGGCCCGCGUCUGAUUAGCUAGUUGGUGGGGUAAUGGCCCACCAAGGCGACGAUCAGUAGCUGGUCUGAGAGGAUGAUCAGCCACAUUGGGACUGAGACACGGCCCAAACUCCUACGGGAGGCAGCAGUGGGGAAUCUUGCGCAAUGGGCGAAAGCCUGACGCAGCCAUGCCGCGUGAAUGAUGAAGGUCUUAGGAUUGUAAAAUUCUUUUAGCAGGGACGAUAAUGACGGUACCUGCAGAAAAAGCCCCGGCUAACUUCGUGCCAGCAGCCGCCGUAACAC
rnacentral:rRNA from 1 species